GUCCAUGUAGUAUAUUCAUUAUACUGGUCUUGUAAACCAGAGAAGGGGAUAACCUCCCCCAUAGACU
rnacentral:tRNA from 1 species